GAUGAACGCUGGCGGCGUGCCUAAUACAUGCAAGUCGAGCGAACGGACGAGAAGCUUGCUUCUCUGAUGUUAGCGGCGGACGGGUGAGUAACACGUGGAUAACCUACCUAUACGACUGGGAUAACUUCGGGAAACCGGAGCUAAUACCGGAUAAUAUUUUGAACCGCAUGGUUCAAAAGUGAAAGACGGUCUUGCUGUCACUUAUAGAUGGAUCCGCGCUGCAUUAGCUAGUUGGUAAGGUAACGGCUUACCAAGGCAACGAUGCAUAGCCGACCUGAGAGGGUGAUCGGCCCAACUGGAACUGAGACACGGUCCAGACUCCUACGGGAGGCAGCAGUAGGGAAUCUUCGGCAAUGGGCGAAAGCCUGACGGAGCAACGCCGCGUGGGUGAUGAAGGUCUUCGGAUCGUAAACCUCUGUUAUUAGGGAAGAACAUAUGUGUAAGUAACUGUGCACAUCUUGACGGUACCUAAUCAGAAAGCCACGGCUAACUACGUG
rnacentral:rRNA from 1 species